rnacentral:lncRNA from 1 species
AUGCGCCCAGCCUGCCCUGGCCCUGGCCGCGUAUGCUCGAGGUGCCGUUUCUUCCCUAUACCGCAGAUCCCCUCGCCUGAUGGGUUGGUCUCGGGUGGUGCUCCCUCGGUUUGCCUCCUGCCGGCCCGGCGGCGGUGGCAGUUGGGGUGGGGGUGUGGCCCACCUUCGGUGAGGAAAGCCUUCUCUAGGGAUCCGAGAGGGGCGUGCCUUGUGACAGCGGUACCGUGUUAUAUGGUGUUUUAUAUGGUUAAGAGUUAAGCCUAUCCCUGAGGACUCAUGAUUCGGGUUCUUCAUACAAGAACGCACUUUGAAUACAAAAGGCCAACAGAAGCCAGAGUGAAGGAAACGAUGGAGGUUACAAGGCCACCAGAUUAUACGCUGUGUUGUAUUGUGGAGACAAAUACACAAGAGGCCUUGCUCUCUUCACGCCAGACUGCACACUGGUACUGAAAGUCCAUGAGGAUAUGUGUCCUCGAUGCUCCUCAACGCUAGUAGAACAGAUUGCCUCUCAGAGGCAACCUUCAUUCAUUGGCUCUGCCUGAGUAAAUCUAGAGAAAGGAGCAUGGAUGAUAAAAGUGCAGUCAGAAUCCUAGAAAAUUAUAGCCCAGUAGCAAAACCAGGAUAUGGAGGAUUUAUAUUAAGCCUCAUUGAAGUGUAACUAUCCACCAGGAAAAUAAAUGCUAAAGAUUUUAAAAGUCCUUUGCA